rnacentral:rRNA from 1 species
UACGGAGGGUGCAAACGUUGCUCGGAAUUAUUGGGCGUAAAGAGCUCGUAGGCGGUGUGUCGCGUCGGCCGUGAAAACCUGCAGCUUAACUGUGGGCGUGCGGUCGAUACGGGCAUCACUGGAGUUCGGCAGGGGGAGACUGGAAUUCCUGGUGUAGCGGUGAAAUGCGCAGAUAUCAGGAGGAACACCAGUGGCGAAGGCGGGGUCUCUGGACAGUUCCUGACACUGAGGCACGAAGGCCAGGGGAGCAAACGGGG